rnacentral:lncRNA from 1 species
CCUCUAGGAGAUGUUUGACUUUGGCCCUUUGGUACCAUUUAAGUUCCUCUUCCCUUAAUAACUCUGCUAGUCUCUGGUUUAGCACAUAUUUGAUAUUCAGUUCAUCUUGAGUAAGUAAGGUGAUCUCUGAUUUUUUAUCUAAUUCAUCCAACUUGUUCAGAAUGCUCAUCUUUUCUAGUUUGUACGCACCGCUCACAUUUUUUGCACAUCCUCUAAGGUCUUUUGAAAUCACUAUAAAUUGCUCUGAACACCCAUCCUCUGUGUCAAAUAUCCUUUUGAGAUAUAGUUCUACAACAUUGAGAUAUACACAUCUAUCCAUUCCUCCGUUAGUAUGUUUCCAAUUUAGUACAUGGGC